UUUCUACUCCCUCCAUCCGAAAAUACUUGUCAUCAAAAUGGAUAAAAAUAGAUGUAUCUAAAACUAAAAUACGUCUAGAUACAUUUCCUUUUAUCCAUUUUGAUGNACAUUUCCUUUUAUCCAUUUUGAUGACAAGUAUUUCCGGACGGAGGGAGUAUUUG
rfam:Triticum aestivum genome assembly, contig: Triticum_aestivum_CS42_TGACv1_scaffold_582910_7BL